CUAUACAUGCAGUCGAGCGGACCGACGGGAGCUUGCUCCCUUAGGUCAGCGGCGGACGGGUGAGUAACACGUGGGUAACCUGCCUGUAAGACUGGGAUAACUCCGGGAAACCGGGGCUAAUACCGGAUGCUUGAUUGAACCGCAUGGUUCAAUCAUAAAAGGUGGCUUUUAGCUACCACUUACAGAUGGACCCGCGGCGCAUUAGCUAGUUGGUGAGGUAACGGCUCACCAAGGCGACGAUGCGUAGCCGACCUGAGAGGGUGAUCGGCCACACUGGGACUGAGACACGGCCCAGACUCCUACGGGAGGCAGCAGUAGGGAAUCUUCCGCAAUGGACGAAAGUCUGACGGAGCAACGCCGCGUGAGUGAUGAAGGUUUUCGGAUCGUAAAACUCUGUUGUUAGGGAAGAACAAGUACCGUUCGAAUAGGGCGGUACCUUGACGGUACCUAACCAGAAAGCCACGGCUAACUACGUGCCAGCAGCCGCGGUAAUACGUAGGUGGCAAGCGUUGUCCGGAAUUAUUGGGCGUAAAGCGCGCGCAGGCGGUUUCUUAAGUCUGAUGUGAAAGCCCCCGGCUCAACCGGGGAGGGUCAUUGGAAACUGGGGAACUUGAGUGCAGAAGAGGAGAGUGGAAUUCCACGUGUAGCGG
rnacentral:rRNA from 1 species